GACGAACGCUGGCGGCGCGCCUAACACAUGCAAGUCGAACGGAGUCAAGAGGAGCUUGCUUUUCUUGACUUAGUGGCGAACGGGUGAGUAACGCGUGAGUAACCUGCCCUGGAGUGGGGGACAACAGUUGGAAACGACUGCUAAUACCGCAUAAGCCCACGGAUCCGCAUGGAUCUGCGGGAAAAGGAUUUAUUCGCUUCAGGAUGGACUCGCGUCCAAUUAGCUAGUUGGUGAGGUAACGGCCCACCAAGGCGACGAUUGGUAGCCGGACUGAGAGGUCGAACGGCCACAUUGGGACUGAGACACGGCCCAGACUCCUACGGGAGGCAGCAGUGGGGGAUAUUGCACAAUGGGGGAAACCCUGAUGCAGCGACGCCGCGUGGAGGAAGAAGGUUUUCGGAUUGUAAACUCCUGUCGUUAGGGACGAUAAUGACGGUACCUAACAAGAAAGCACCGGCUAACUACGUG
rnacentral:rRNA from 1 species